rnacentral:rRNA from 1 species
GAUGAACGCUGGCGGCGUGCCUAAUACAUGCAAGUCGAGCGAACAGAUGAGGAGCUUGCUCCUCUGACGUUAGCGGCGGACGGGUGAGUAACACGUGGAUAACCUACCUAUAAGACUGGGAUAACUUCGGGAAACCGGAGAUAAUACCGGAUAAUAUAUUGAACCGCAGGGUUCAAUAGUGAAAGACGGUUUUGCGGUAACUUAUAGAUGGAUCCGCGCCGCAUUAGCUAGUUGGUAAGGUAACGGCUUACCAAGGCAACGAUGCGUAGCCGACCUGAGAGGGUGAUCGGCCACACUGGAACUGAGACACGGUCCAGACUCCUACGGGAGGCAGCAGUAGGGAAUCUUCCGCAAUGGGCGAAAGCUUGACGGAGCAACGCCGCGUGAGUGAUGAAGGUCUUCGGAUCGUAAAACUCUGUUAUUAGGGAAGAACAAAUGUGUAAGUAACUAUGCACGUCUUGACGGUACCUAAUCAGAAAGCCCCGGCUAACUACGUG